UAGGAAACUCUUGUGAGUUGUUCUUUGAGUUUGAUUCUUUGAUUUUUCUUUUUGUAGGUUAUGUUAAAUAAUAAAAUAAAAUUAUCAUCCGACUCACUGUGUAAAAGAAAGGAUUGGAGUUCAAUGUGGUAUCUGGAUUAUGGAUUGUCUCUUGUGUUCGGGGCACUAACUAAUUUUCUGGAUUGUCUACAGGAUUCUUCUUACGGGAAAUUGAACUGUUUGUUCUUCGGAAAUAGGGUCUUGGAUGAUCUCGAAGAAGUAUCAGUAGUUCUCGGAAUAGGUUGUAGGAUGAUUCUCUUUUUAUUUUAAUAUUACAUACAUUGGAGUACACGCCAAAUUUCAACAAUGAGUAAAGUUGGAAAAAUUCAGAUUUAAAUCAAGGAUUUCUUCCUCAAAAUAACGUUAAAACCUCAAAAGAUGGAUGAAAAAUGUGCUUUAGGAGCUGAACUACAAUAAUUGAUACAUUUGGAAGUAAACAAAACGGUUUAAGAUAAGAUUUUCACCAACAAAAAAUCUCUCUGUCACAAAUUCUAGGUUAUGUUCUCUUGGUGAACUAACAAUAAGAUAAUGUUAAAAUUAUUACAGUAUGUAUAUAAUCAGUUUUCAUUCUGACGGUGCAAUUAUUUUAACAAUUUCAUGUUCAUUUCAAUUUAUUUUGUUUAACAACUGCAUUAUUUUUGAAAUGAAAUUUUCUAUAAAGCAAUUUGCCCUCCAUUUUUAGCCUGUCAAUAAUUACAAAAAAUAGGGUAUUAUAUCGAGUAUAAAGUGUAGUUGCAUAUAAAGUAAUUUUUAUUCAGAAUUAAACAUACUCAAACAUUUGAUAUUCUCAAUUAGAGUCUUUAUCAAAUUUCUCUCUCAAAAAACAUUUUUAUCAAGGUUGGUAAAAUGUUAUUCUUAAUGAAAAACCGUUUACUUUAACCUCGCUUAGGCCAUCGCGUUGAACUUAAAGUGCAUAGUUAUCGACUUUAGUUUAGCUAGUGGUCGCGUUCAAAACUGAAUAACUUUUUGAGCGAGAAAACAAAAAAAUUUUAUUUUUUUAACAAAAGAAUUCUAUACAAUUUUCUUUUGGAAUAUCCCACAAAAUAAACCCAUUUAUUAUUCAAUAAUGUUUGUACUAUUAACAUUAGCUGAUGUAAUCACCGAGACUAACGUACAUUAUAAAUACAUGUAUGCGAUGAUGUUUUAUCGAUACAAUAGGUAUUUCACGAUAUUUUUCAAAGCCGAAUGAAUGAAUUAUUGAAACAUACUAAUUUACCGUUAUUACCACCUGGUUUUGUUAUCGAUUUCGAACAAAAAAAAAAUGUAAUUUAUGAACACACGAACCAAAGUUUAGCUUAAACUAAAAAGAUUCCAAAAUGUGGGCAGUACACGCAACAAAGAGACAUUUUGGAAGCUUUCGAGCAAUAACCAUACAUUAUGUAUGCCAUAUUUUACGAGCAGUAUCUGAAAGUAAUGUUCCGCUUUCGAAAAGGAGGGGAAACGGAGUAUGAGUUUCAUCAGAACGAACUUUGCCCCGGCUCCUCCACCCAAAAUUAAAUUCUCGUAACCCCAAAAUAACCUGUUGGCGAAGUUUGGUUCUCUCUCCAUGGCAAGGGUUGGGCGUGGAUUUAUGUUGGACGCGAUGCGAUAUAAAGUUGGGCACGUCCACCAUGGGAACUGUUUUUCUAAAACUCCCAAUGGAUUUAUUGCGUAUAGUAAAUGAAAAUGGUUAAAUAAUCUAGAAACGUAAAUGCACUAAACAAAACUAGCAACAAGAUUGGUUUUAAUAAACUAUUGAUAUGUAUCUAUGUAUACAAAAAAGAAAAGAAUAAAUUCAAUUUGCAAUCAA